rnacentral:rRNA from 1 species
GAGUUUGAUCCUGGCUCAGAACGAACGCUGGCGGCGUGCUUACACAUGCAAGUCGAACGUGAUCCGGAGCUUGCUCCGGUGAAAGUGACGCACGGGUGAGUAACGCGUGGAUAAUCUGCCCUGGUAUCUGGGAUAACAUCUCGAAAGGGGUGCUAAUACCGGAUAAGCCUACGGACUCUUCGGAGUCUGCAGGAAAAGGUGGCCUCUAUUUAUAAGCUACCGUAUCAGGAUGAGUCCGCGUACCAUUAGCUAGUUGGUGGGGUAAUGGCCCACCAAGGCUACGAUGGUUAGCUGGUCUGAGAGGAUGAUCAGCCACACUGGAACUGAGACACGGUCCAGACUCCUACGGGAGGCAGCAGUGGGGAAUUUUGCGCAAUGGGGGAAACCCUGACGCAGCAACGCCGCGUGAGUGAUGAAGGCUUUCGGGUCGUAAAGCUCUGUCAGAGGGGAAGAAAUGAGACUGGCUAAUAUCCAGUUUUCUUGACGGUACCCUCAAAGGAAGCACCGGCUAACUCCGUGCCAGCAGCCGCGGUAAUAC